GGGGAAUUUUCCGCAAUGGGCGAAAGCCUGACGGAGUGACGCCGCGUGUGGGACGAAGGCCUUCGGGUCGUAAACCACUGUUAGUGGGAAAGAUGGGCGCCGGCGUGAUAACCGCCGGUGUCUGACGGUACCUGCAGCGGAAGCCCCGGCUAACUCUGUGCCAGCAGCCGCGGUAAGACAGAGGGGGCAAGCGUUGCUCGGACUUACUGGGCGUAAAGGGCGCGUAGGCGGGAUGGCAAGUCGGUCGUGAAAUCCCUCGGCUCAACUGAGGAACGUCGAUCGAUACUGCCGUUCUUGAGGGUUGCAGAGGAGGCUGGAAUUCCCGGUGUAGCGGUGAAAUGUGUAGAGAUCGGGAGGAACACCGGUGGCGAAGGCGGGUCUCUGGGCAACUCCUGACGCUGAGGCGCGAAAGCGUGGGGAGCAAAC
rnacentral:rRNA from 1 species